rnacentral:rRNA from 1 species
CGCGUAGGCGGGUUACCAAGUCCAGGGUGAAAUCUUUCGGCUUAACCGGAAAAGUGCCUUGGAUACUGGUAGUCUCGAGGGAGGUAGGGGUAUGUGGAACUUCCGGUGGAGCGGUGAAAUGCGUUGAUAUCGGAAGGAACGCCGGUGGCGAAAGCGACGUACUGGACCUCUUCUGACGCUGAGGCGCGAAAGCCAGGGGAGCGAACGGGAUUAGAUACCCCGGUAGUCCUGGCCCUAAACGAUGGGUACUAGGUAGUAGACUUUCAUGGGUUUACUGCCGAAGCAAAAGUGGUAAGUACCCCGCCUGGGGAGUAUGGUCGCAAGGCUGAA